GGAUUGCUGGAUUGCUGGAUUGCUGGAUUGCUGGAUUGCUGGAUUGCUGGUUGCUAGACUCCUGGACUGCUGCUUGGGAAUAUUCCGACAGGUAAAAAUACAGUUCUGCAGCCUUCGCUUUGUGCAGGACCCCGAACCAGGCAAAGGGAA